rnacentral:rRNA from 1 species
UAUCAUUCAUAAGCGGAGGAAAAGAAACUAACAAGGAUUCCCCUAGUAACUGCGAGUGAAGCGGGAAAAGCUCAAAUUUAAAAUCUGGCGGUCUUUGGCUGUCCGAGUUGUAAUUUAGAGAAGCGUCUUCCGCGCCGGACCGUGCACAAGUCUCCUGGAAUGGAGCGUCAUAGAGGGUGAGAAUCCCGUCUUUGGCAUGGAACCCCCGGGGCUUCUGUGAUGCGCUCUCGAAGAGUCGAGUUGUUUGGGAAUGCAGCUCAAAAUGGGUGGUGAACUCCAUCUAAAGCUAAACAUUGGCGAGAGACCGAUAGCGAACAAGUACCGUGAGGGAAAGAUGAAAAGCACUUUGGAAAGAGAGUGAAACAGUACGUGAAAUUGUUGAAAGGGAAACGCUUGGAGUCAGUCGCGUCGACCGAGACUCAGCCUUGCCUCGGCUUGGUGUACUUCUCGGCUGACGGGCCAGCAUCAAUUCGGUCCCUCAGAUAAUGGCAAGGGAAAGGUGGCACCCUUAUGGGUGUGUUAUAGUCCCCCGUCGCAUGUGAGGGGUGGGAUUGAGGAACUCAGCACGCGCCUCUCGGUGUCGGGGCUUCGGCCCACGUUUAACGUGCUUAGGAUGCUGGCGUAAUGGCUCCAAACGACCCGUCUUGAAACACGGACCAAGGAGUCUAACAUGCCUGCGAGUGUUCGGGUGGAAAACUCGUGCGCGAAAUGAAAGUGAAAGUUGGGACCUCUGUCGUGGAGGGCACCGACGCCCGGACCAGACCUUCUGUGACGGAUCUGCGGUAGAGCAUGCAUGUUGGGACCCGAAAGAUGGUGAACUAUGCCUGAAUAGGGUGAAGCCAGAGGAAACUCUGGUGGAGGCUCGUAGCGAUUCUGACGUGCAAAUCGAUCGUCAAAUUUGGGUAUAGGGGCGAAAGACUAAUCGAACCAUCUAGUAGCUGGUUCCUGCCA